rnacentral:rRNA from 2 species
AACGACUCUCGGCAACGGAUAUCUAGGCUCUCGCAUCGAUGAAGAACGUAGCGAAAUGCGAUACUUGGUGUGAAUUGCAGAAUCCCGUGAACCAUCGAGUCUUUGAACGCAAGUUGCGCCCGAGGCCUUUAGGUCGAGGGCACGUCUGCCUGGGCGUCACGC